rnacentral:rRNA from 1 species
UAACAAUGAGAGACUGAAUAACAGUUUUUCAAUUGGAAUGAGAUAUGAGAAGGGAAAAAAGCGAGAAACAAGUGGAGGGCAAGUCUGGUGCCAGCAGCCGCGGUAAUACCAGCUCCACAAGCGUAUAUUAAAGCUGCUGCAGUUAAAACGCUCGUAGUUGUGGUUUCGUUAGCGGAGCGGUCUGUGUCUCAAAAAGACGCGGGCAGUUCUGCUAAUUACAAUCUAGUGUGUGUGUUAACUCAUUCAUACUAAGUAAACCUUGAAGAAAUAUUGACGCUUAAAAUUUGACUUAAGUCAAAGUUCUUUUUGCAUGGGAUUUUGGAAUAUGAGUGGUGGAGUAAAAUCCGCUGCUAAUGACAUUCGAGGAUGAAAGAGGAAGUUAAUAUUUGUGAGUCAGAGGUGAAAUUCUUGGAUUUCACAAAGAUUAACUAAUGCGAAGGCAUUCUUCAAUUGCUUUCCUGUCAAUCAAGAACGAAAGUAAGGGGAUCGAAGACGAUCAGGUACCGUCGUAGUCUUUACAGUAAAUUUUGCCGACAAAGGAAACGGGAAAGACCUAGAAUGCGCCGGGCAACUGGUACAUUUAAUAUCCUCCUGUUUUCUCCCACGAAAGUUUAAGUCUUUGGGUUCUGGGGGGAGUAUGUUCGCAAGGCCGAAACUUAAAGGAAUUGGCGGAAAGGCACCACCAGGCGUGGAGCCUGCGGCUUAAUUUGACCCAACACGGGAAAACUUACCAGGUCCAAACAGCGUGAGGAUUGACAGAUUGAGAGCUCUUUCAUGAUUCGUUGGGUGGUGGUGCAUGGCCGUUCUUAGUUGGUGGUGCGAGCUGUCUGGUUGAUUCCGUUAACGAACGAGACCUUUGUGAGAUAAUAGUUGAAUCAAGAUAUUGCGUCAAGGCUGGAGCUCACGUAUUGGGGAAGGAUCCGUUCCUCCCUUUACUCUGGGUUUCAGUUGCAAUCUAGAUUACAACUUCUUUCUCAGACAAAUGAAAAAAAUUCAUUGGAAGUUGGAGGCAAAAACAGGUCUGUGAUGCCCUUCGAUGUUCUGGGCUGCACGCGCGCUACAAUGACAAAGUCAACAAGUUUUUUCCUUGCUUGAAAGGGCUGGGUAAUCUCUAAAACUUUGUCGUAAUAAGGAUCGCUGAUUGAAACUAUUCGGCGUGAAUCAGGAAUGCCUUGUAAUUAUAAGUCAUCAGUUUAUAGUGAAUACGUCCCUGCCUUUUGUACACACCGCCCGUCGCUCCUACCAAUUGGUAUAAACGGUGAAAAGUUCGGAGACAACUUUCGUU